GUUGGCCAAAGACACAGCAGGAGCUGCAGCGGCCCAAGUAACGCUGAGGACUCUGGGUGUUGAGAACCGGGGUCAUAGACCACAUCACGGUGCCCAAGUAUACCCAGAUGGGCUACUAGAGUGUGCUAACUUGAUUGUUGGAGCCUUUGAAGCACUUAUGUCCUGUUAUCAGAUGGUUGGAGCUGUUACCAGAUCACUGUGUGGUAAAUGGGAUCUUAAAAUCUUGCAAGCAGCCAUCCAAAGCACAACAAUUGAUCUCUAUUCACCUGGAGCAACAGAGGAAGAAAGCAAGUCAGGAGUACGGGGAGGAAAUGGACUGUGUGGCUGAUUGCCUCCAUGAACAACUGCCUCCUUUGCCAUGAGACCGAAAGGACUGGAUGGUGUCCAACUACCAUUACUGAAUAUUUUGAUCAAAGAUUCUGUAGAAGAAUCUUGAUCAAAAGGUGGAAAAUGCAGAACAGAAUUUCAAAUUCUCAUGGACUCUAGGUUUUCUGGAGCCAUGGAGGCUGAAUGAACUUCCAAAAUUGUUGCCCUGAGAUAAUCUUUAAACCUUAAACAAAAAAUAUCCUCUGAAAUCUUAAAACCAAACAGUAGUAUAGCUUUUAACUAAUGACGAUUGUCUGCCUUGAGCAUUAUGGCCUUUUAAGAUUGAUCUAUCUGGUAUCAAAUUGAAAACAGUAGCUCGAAAGAUAGAAACCUUAGGGGGCAGUGAGUUUAUGUUAAUGGGGGAGUAGCAACUUAGAAAAGAAGAAUGAGAAUGGUUGUAUAACUCAAAGUAUGUAAUCAAUGCCACUAAAUUGUAUAUGUAGAAACUGUUGAAUUGGUAUAUGUUUUGUUGUGUAUAUGCUCAACAACAACAAAAAUAAAAUAAAUUAUAAAGAAAUACUAAAGGGAGUCCUCCAGAAGGAUAAGUACUGUAGUAUUGGAGUACUGUCCACUUCAACAGAAAUGGUACAUACAAGGGUAAAAGAAUCCCACUAAAGGAAAUGUCUUGAAAGUAUAAAGAUCAGCUUUAAGGUCUCUUUUGCUGACAAGUACAGCUUAUAUGUCCUUUAUUCUUUACAAUGACAAAUAUAUAGGGAAAAAAGAAAAUAA